UCUUACAUGCAGUCGAACGGCAGCACGGGAGCUUGCUCCUGGUGGCGAGUGGCGAACGGGUGAGUAAUGCAUCGGAACGUGCCCUGAAGUGGGGGAUAACGCAGCGAAAGUUGCGCUAAUACCGCAUAUUCUGUGAGCAGGAAAGCAGGGGAUCGCAAGACCUUGCGCUUUAGGAGCGGCCGAUGUCGGAUUAGCUAGUUGGUGGGGUAAAGGCUCACCAAGGCGACGAUCCGUAGCGGGUCCGAGAGGAUGAUCCGCCACACUGGGACUGAGACACGGCCCAGACUCCUACGGGAGGCAGCAGUGGGGAAUUUUGGACAAUGGGCGAAAGCCUGAUCCAGCCAUGCCGCGUGAGUGAAGAAGGCCUUCGGGUUGUAAAGCUCUUUCGGCGGGGAAGAAAUCGCAUUCUCUAAUACAGGAUGUGGAUGACGGUACCCGAAUAAGAAGCACCGGCUAACUACGUGCCAGCAGCCGCGGUAAUACGUAGGGUGCGAGCGUUAAUCGGAAUUACUGGGCGUAAAGCGUGCGCAGGCGGUUUCGUAAGACAGACGUGAAAUCCCCGGGCUCAACCUGGGAACUGCGUUUGUGACUGCGAGGCUAGAGUUUGGCAGAGGGGGGUGGAAUUCCACGUGUAGCAGUGAAAUGCGUAGAGAUGUGGAGGAACACCGAUGGCGGAGGCAGCCCCCUGGGCCAAUACUGACGCUCAUGCACGAAAGCGUGGGGAGCAAACAGGAUUAGAU
rnacentral:rRNA from 1 species